CCCCUCUCAGGACCACACCUGAAGUGUUUCCAGUACGCUAUCAGUCUCGGCUAUGGGAGGGAGAGUCAAGCAGAGGCAUAUCCGUUCCAUUCCUAGCUUGGGCAGUGGCUAGCGAGUGGAAGACAAUCUGCUACAAGG